UACGUAGGGGGCGAGCGUUGUCCGGAUUUACUGGGCGUAAAGAGCGCGCAGGCGGUCGUUCAAGUCGCGUGUGAAAGCCCCCGGCUCAACUGGGGAGGGUCACGCGAUACUGAUCGACUCGAAGGCAGGAGAGGGUAGUGGAAUUCCCGGUGUAGUGGUGAAAUGCGUAGAUAUCGGGAGGAACACCAGUGGCGAAGGCGACUACCUGGCCUGUUUCUUGACGCUGAGGCGCGAAAGCUAGGGGAGCAAACGGG
rnacentral:rRNA from 1 species